UCCGACUUAAUUUCAGAGCAGCAUGACUUCCGGUUGCAUUAAAAAGGUCGAGUCCGUUCUAAUAAUGCUUAAUAAAUUAAAAAAGAUCAACUCUCUGGCAGGAGCCUACAUCCCUCAUCUGUGUCCUCAGAGAAACUACAAGACAGAUACUAAAGCUAAGGUAGUUCUCCCCCGACCACUCAGAAUUGAAAGGAUAUAUGAGGAAAAAGUAUUCAAAAGCCUAACAGAAAAGCCUUUGGCAAAAGAAGUGGACCUGGUUGAUUAUAAACCAAUGGAAAAUGAGUAUAAACGUCUCCUCGGGGAUACAUUUGAAGAUAAUGCAUUGCAGCAUCCAGAUUUUUUUCAAAUCAAAGAAAUGGUAGACAUGCAAACACUUUACAAAAACAGGGUUCAUUAUGGUCAUCACUUUGGAUGUAGACAUCCAUAUAUGGUGUCCUUUCUCCAUGGACUUCGGCACAAUACAGAUAUAUUUGAUCUGGACAGAACUUUACCACGUUUGCACUUGGCCUUGAAUUUUAUAGCUCAUGUUGUGUACAGAGGGGGCAUUGUGUUAUUUGUUUCCAGAAAUGCUCAGCACAUGCCUCUUGUAGAAAAAACUGCAAGCAAUGCCGGUGAAUAUUCCCACUGCCGCUUCUGGAAAUCAGGUCUUCUCACAAAUAUUGACAGACUGUUCAGUAAUCUAACCAGGCACCCUGAUGUUGUUAUAUUUCUUCAUACACAAAAUAGUAUUGGAAGUGAUCAUAUCGCUGUUACAGAGUGUGCCAAAAUGCUGAUACCGACUGUAGGUGUUGUGGACUCUAAUUGUAACCCUACCUUUAUAACAUAUCCCAUUCCUGGGAAUGAUGAUUCUCCAGAUGCUGUGAGACUGUACUGUACACUGUUUGAACAGACUAUUUUACGUGCAAAAGAAUACAGGAAAAGGGACUUACAAAAACAAUGCUAAGUCAAAUUAAGAACUGCAUAGUGCAAGAGGCUUUGAAUCAUCCUGGAAAUUGACAGACAUGACUAAGACAGACAGGAUGCAGGACACAACACUGAAGCAUAAGGUGAUGGCCAGGUACACAGCUGAAAACACAAGAGCCAGAUUCCACUGGCAGAAGAAACACAAUUGUAUUGAGAUAGGACAAUAGGAACACCGGUAACAAAAUGCCUGUGACGUAAUAUGCCGUCCUUCUCUGCAAAACUAAUGUGAACACAAUUUCCCAGUGUUUUGUC